AGAGUUUGAUUCUGGCUCAGGAUGAACGCUAGCGACAGGCUUAACACAUGCAAGUCGAGGGGCAGCGGGGCGGCAGGCUUGCCUGCCGUUGCCGGCGACCGGCGCACGGGUGAGUAACACGUAUGCAACCUGCCCGUGGCAGGGGGAUAAGCGGGGGAAACCCCGUCUAAUACCGCGUAACGCGGCCUAGGGACAUCCCAAGGCCGCCAAAGGGAGCAAUCCCGGCCACGGAUGGGCAUGCGGCGCAUUAGCUAGUCGGCGGGGUAACGGCCCACCGAGGCGACGAUGCGUAGGGGUUCUGAGAGGAAGGCCCCCCACACUGGUACUGAGACACGGACCAGACUCCUACGGGAGGCAGCAGUGAGGAAUAUUGGUCAAUGGGCGCGAGCCUGAACCAGCCAAGUCGCGUGAGGGAGGACGGCCCUACGGGUUGUAAACCUCUUUUGCCGGGGAG
rnacentral:rRNA from 1 species